rnacentral:rRNA from 1 species
UACGGAGGAUGCGAGCGUUAUCCGGAUUUAUUGGGUUUAAAGGGUGCGUAGGCGGGAUGCCAAGUCAGCGGUAAAAAUGCGGUGCUCAACGUCGUCGAGCCGUUGAAACUGGCGUUCUUGAGUGGGCGAGAAGUAUGCGGAAUGCGUGGUGUGGCGGUGAAAUGCAUAGAUAUCACGCAGAACUCCGAUUGCGAAGGCAGCAUACCGGCGCCCUACUGACGCUGAGGCACGAAAGCGUGGGUAUCGAACAGG